rnacentral:tRNA from 1 species
UCUCGAUUGGUCUAGUGGUCAGGAUACCUGCUUGUCAUCUUAUGUCAAGUACGCAGGUGGCCGGGGUUCGAUUCCCCGAUCGAGAG